rnacentral:rRNA from 1 species
CCUACGGGGGGCAGCAGUGGGGAAUAUUGGACAAUGGGGGGAACCCUGAUCCAGCCAUGCCGCGUGUGUGAAGAAGGCCCUCGGGUUGUAAAGCACUUUCAGUGAGGAAGAACGCCUGGUGGUUAAUACCCAUCAGGAAAGACAUCACUCACAGAAGAAGCACCGGCUAACUCCGUGUCAGCAGCCGCGGUAAUACGGAGGGUGCGAGCGUUAAUCGGAAUUACUGGGCGUAAAGCGCGCGUAGGUGGCUUGAUAAGCCGGUUGUGAAAGCCCCGGGCUCAACCUGGGAACGGCAUCCGGAACUGUCAAGCUAGAGUGCAGGAGAGGAAGGUAGAAUUCCCGGUGUAGCGGUGAAAUGCGUAGAGAUCGGGAGGAAUACCAGUGGCGAAGGCGGCCUUCUGGACUGACACUGACACUGAGGUGCGAAAGCGUGGGUAGCAAACAGGAUUAGAUACCCUUGUAGUC